GACGAACGCUGGCGGCGUGCUUAACACAUGCAAGUCGAGCGGUAAGGCCCUUUCGGGGGUACACGAGCGGCGAACGGGUGAGUAACACGUGGGUGACCUGCCCUCAGCUCUGGGAUAAGCCUGGGAAACCGGGUCUAAUACCGGAUAUGACUCCAUGACGCAUGUUGUGGGGUGGAAAGCCUUGUGCGGCUGAGGAUGGGCCCGCGGCCUAUCAGCUUGUUGGUGGGGUGAUGGCCUACCAAGGCGACGACGGGUAGCCGGCCUGAGAGGGCGACCGGCCACACUGGGACUGGGACACGGCCCAGACUCCUACGGGAGGCAGCAGUGGGGAAUCUUGCGCUAAUGCGGGAAACCGUGACGCAGCGACGCCGCGUGAGGG
rnacentral:rRNA from 1 species